GGGACAGACAGACACAGCGUGUCUGCCAGUGUGGGGCAAUCUGGAGCACACGGCACCAUCCUUUAAGUAUUUUUGCAAAAAAAAAAAAUUGGCUAUAAGUAACAAAAGGAAUUGAGUUAGCAAAUUCCAGAGAAAAUGUAUAGACCAGACAGACUUCAUAGGAAGAGAACAAGAGUCAGGAGAAACAAGGACAGAAGUGUGGAAGGGCGGGCAUUCUUACGACCGCAAAAGGGAAACAAGCCAAGAACAUAGGAAGGCUCCAACUCAGUGGGGUUAAAGGUCAAGAUCUAAGGCCCAUUGUCGACUCCCGGUUACCCUGGCAACAAGGUCCCCACUUCCAUCGAAGGAAUCAUGCAACGAUUAGAAGCAGGGCAACACCUGGCGAGUGACCGAUGGCCCAGGAGGAGUUUGGGAAGGAUUUGAGCAGCAGACCAUGAAUGAAGCCGGCAAGGAGGAGAAUUGAUGCCUGGGGACACUGGACACACUCUACAGAAUUAACCCACUGUGGUAUUUCUGAAAUCAUUCUAUGCCGUAUAUUCAAGAAACAGGUCCUUCCCAUUGGCCUCAGAUUUCACCGUUAGGGAUUCAAGUCUUUGAGUUCUGGAGGCAUUCUCCCUUUGAAGAACCCCCUGUUAAUAGGGCUGACCCUUGGGCCACGCCAGGAUCGUCCUCAGCAAGUUCCAGCCAGUGGACCGCAAGGAGACUGACACGUCGCUUCCGAGCUGAGCCAGUUGAGAGCUGCCGGUGGGAGACGGAGAGAGCUGCUCCAUCUCAGUCCUCCCGACCACACGGACCCCGGGGGCCAUGUGCUCUAAAUGGAGGAGGGCUGCCCGUCCUCACGAGCCUUUAGGUGAGUGAGGAGCCAGCCUGGAUGGCGUUUAACCACCGAGACUCCAGGUUUGUCUGUUAUGGCAGCUGGUGUUAAAUACCCCGACACAUUCAGACCCCAGAGUUAGAAGAGAGCAAAGCAACUUGGUAUAUAGGAAGUGAUGGAAUGUCAUGCUUUCAAUAAAAAGUAAGCUGGCUAACAUUUAGUGAAGUUAUUACGAACCAGACAUCGUUCUAAGAACUCUAUGUUCGUUAAAUCACUUAGUCCGCAUCUUCCGUACCUGUGGGACAGGGAUCUAUUAUCAUCAUUCCCAUCUUACAGAUGGGAAAACAGAGGCACAGAGACGGGCGGUAACUUCCCAAGAUCACACAGCUGGGAAGGGUUGAAGCCAGGAUUUCAGCUCAGACAGCCAGACUCCAGGGUCCACGUGUUCAUCCCUUAUCUAAAGAUGGCCAGCGCAGGAUCCACUGAAAAGCUGCUGUGGGGGUGUGCAGGGCACGCCCGGGAUCUGUCGGGUCCUGCAGUCACAGCGAAGCCGCUGAGGGGGAGGGUGAAGGGGCAAUGGGGGGUGCUCAGGUCUCAGUUACUCCUCAACUGGGUAUCUGUGACAGACUGAGUAACGGCCCCCCAAAGACGCCCACAUCCUGAUCCCCACAGCCUAUAAAUGUGUGACCUUACAUGGCCAAAGGGACUCUGCAGACGUGAUUAAGCCAAGGAUCUCGAGAUGACGGGAUUAUCCUGGAUUCUCUGGGUGGAACCAAUGUCCACACCAGGCUCCUUAGGAGAGGGGGACAGGAGGUCAGGGUGAGAAAAGAUGAUGUGACAACGGAAGCAGAGAGCGAGGUUGGAAGAUGCUACGCUGCUGGCUUUGAGGAUGGAGGAAGGGGCCACAAGCCAAGGAAUGCAGGCAGCCUCUAGAAGGUGGAAAUGGCAAGGGAACAGAUUCUCGCUCGAAGCCUCCAGAAUGAACACAGACCUGCCCACACCUUGGUUUUAGGACUUCUGGCCUCCAGAACCGUAAGAGAAGAAAUCUGUGUUGUUUGAAGUCACCAAGUCUGAGGCCGUCUGUCGCAGCAGCAACAGGACACGCACACAGUGGCCUUGGCAAGGCCCCUUUGAGCUUGCAGGCCUCCAGGGCCUCAUCUGUACGAUAAGGAGAGUGACGUCUUCUCCCUGGCCUGUGGGGAGACUUAAACAAGAUAAUAAAGCGUGAAAAGCCUUGGGAAGUGUCCCACGAAUGAGGAUGGAAUUUCAGUCCACUUCAGCACAUGCGUGACCUCUCUCUGGCUGUUAGCUCUGGGGUCAAUGCUCCUCCUCCCACCACACUCGGUGCUGGGGGAUCUCCUGGCAUGUCCUCCAUGGUCUCCCCCUGCAGACUCAGCUUCUAGAGGAACGGCAGAUGGCUGGCCAGGGGUCAGUGGAUUGGCCAGAGCUCAGGCGGCCGUGGGACAGAACCAGAGUGUCACAUCAGAGAAGACAACAGCUCGUGGUGGCCACUUCUUCCUCUGCAGCUGGCCCGCCCUGUCUACCGGAUCAGGUGGGGUCCUCCAGGUGGCUUGUUAACUAUUGAGGGCACGGGGCAAGCCAGGAAAGCUAAUCGCACCAAGGGGCUCCAGCCAACCCUCAACACACUUGCCUUCCGUUAUGGCCUCUGGCUUCUGCAGAGGGUCAGUCUUCCAGGAGUUCACUCCUCAGCAUUCCAACAGCAUCCAGCACAGCCGGCACAGUUGGCUGCCUACCCACCAGUCACUCCUCCCUUUCUGCCUGCUCCCCCGGAUCCACCCAUUCCCAGGGCAUGAGUUUUGGUUGGUCUAAGCCAG
rnacentral:lncRNA from 1 species